rnacentral:rRNA from 1 species
AUGGCAACCAAGAGCCUCCUUCUCCCAGCUCUCCUGGCCCUCGCCGUCAGCCUAGCGCCGCACGGUGCGGAGGCGGGCAAGCAGCCUCCAAUGGCGAUCGUCUCCGGCGUAGUGCUGUGCAGCGCUGGGAACUCCAUCAACGCGACCGCGGCACCGCCGUUCCGGAACACCGUCGUGCGGUUGGUGUGCGGCCGUAACGUGAUGGCCAGCGCGACGGCGGACCACACCGGAGCCUACACCAUGAACAUGGGCAGGGUCACCUCAUCGCUGCUCGCCAUGAACCAGUGCAAAGUGGUGGUGGUCACCCCGCUAGCCGCGUGCAACGCGUCCCUGGCCAGCAUCACCGGGACACUGGCCGCGCCAGUGCAGCUCGUGAGUAUUGGCGCUGGCCUCCCUAUUGACAACGCCGCCGAGAACCUCAUCGGCGGCAUCGUCUAG